AUCCAGCUGACGAGUCCCAAGCUGGACGAAAAGUGUAUCUUGGAU
rfam:Schistosoma haematobium scaffold477_6, whole genome shotgun sequence.